ACAAUUACUAGAUUUCUUCUAUGCACAGCUUAGCCACACGUUAUGGAUAACUCAGGAAGAAUGUGCUAAAAGUUCAAAAUAUUUUUGUUCCAGCAAUCAAACCUGGAGCCCCUGCCACAAAACUUUUGUUUCCGCUAACCGAUCCGCAUGCCGUCAUUCAACUGGAGGAUUUUGUUCGGAUAGAUCCUAACAUGAGACGCAAAUAUAUUAAAUUUCUGCGCCGCAUCAAAACACCACGACAAAGCCUUGAAGAUACGUUUGGUAAAAUCUGCACCGAUCAAGCCAUCUUCCGUCAUUUUAACUGGACGUCCAACAAGUCCUCCCAAUCUAUGACGCAGCGAGAAACACUGCAGCAUUAUUGGAUAUUCACAGAUUGUUUGUUUGAAGCUUGGAGCAGUCACGGAUUUACCAUGGAAACGUUGAAAUCAAAAAUGGCAAGCGUUAUCAAACGCAUCUAUGUUCGCAACAACGUGCGCAAUUUUCGAGCUAGGUCUAAGAUUGUAGAGCUUUGAAGAUUUCUAGGAUAUGAAUAAAUGUAGAAAAACGAUAUUUCCACUUUUGAAACUAAUUCUGAGACUUGCUUAUCAUUAAUCAUUCUAGAAAGUAACUUUUUGCUUAAUUUCAUGGCAUGGAAUCAGCUGAACCGCCCCAGAGAAUUUCACAUCUUGGAGUUACAUCGCAUUCCGCUGCUGGGUUCAACUUUCCUAUACGAUCGGAACAAGCAAUAGAGAAGCUCGAAUCUUCCGUUCGAUGUAACGAAAAAUCCAGGAAGCAAUAUAUUAAGUUCCUACGCUCGAAACUGACCGACGAUCAAAGCGUUUUCACCGUGUUUCAACACAUCUUUACCUACCAAUCUCUGGUCGGAUACUGCUGGACGAAGCGUUCCAACUUGGAAAGAAAAUCCAUGAGAGAUUAUGAAAUCUUCACUAGUUGCAUGUUGGAUGCCUGGCAGUGCAAGGGUGUAACGGAGCAAUCCCUAGCCGAGCACAUCCGUCACGUGAUCAGAAACGUAAAUAUUUCAAAACGGAAGUUGAAAAUUCGACUAAGGAAACGAUAUUCUAGUACUUCAUUUAGUAAUUGAACCAGUACUGUUUAUUUGGAAGUGUUGGAGAAGCCAAACAAUAAAUGAUCCUUUCAAAAUAAUUUCCAACGAAGAGAUUGUCAUUGAGAUGCUUUUCAAAUUCUAGCACUACGUUUAAACCAACAAUUUCGAUUUCUUUUGUAUAUUCUCUAGCCAAAAAUGUCGCCAAGUUGCGGAAUCGGUUGCAAAGUCUCAACAAAAUGAUCAGCAUGGCGUCGAGUCGAAACGAAAAGAUGCAACUGGAGGUUCAAAUCUGUGACGUCAACAAGGAACUGCAGGAGUUACUUAAAACUGCCGAGCAGCAGAAGCAGCGUGCCACCGCCCAUGUUGAUGGUUUCCAUUUUCCGUUAAGUUCCAUGGUCGAAAUCGAACGAUUGGAGGAAGCCGUUCGGAAGGAUUUCGAUGUGAGGAAGCAAUAUGUACGCUACCUGUCGCUCAAGAAGCCCCCAACGAUGGACGUAACUAACUUUUUCUCGUAUCUCUUCACCGACGAUGCUCUGAUGGGCUACAACUACUCCGGAACCAACAACAUUGGCGAUUCGAAGAUGCCAAUGAGGAACUAUGAAAUUUUCAUCGAUUGUAUGAUAGAAGCAUGGGCUGAUCAUGGAUUGACGCACAUACUGCUCGAGGAGAAGAUCAAACUUGUGGUGAGAAAGCUUACCGCUCGACGUCGCAUGCAGAAGUUUCGGCAGAGAAAAUCAAUGAAAGUUUGAAGCUUGUUAAAUAAACUUGAAAUAUUUAAAGAACUUUGUAUAUUUUUUUAUUGACUUUAAAUUAAAAUUAAUGUAUGGUAAAUGACUACUAUUUUUCACUAUGGAUUUCAGAUCCCCUAAAACCACGAAAAAAGGUAUUCAUGAGGACGGUAGAACUGGAUGAGUGUGCUGCGGCAGAUGAUGAACAGCGCUAUAUGUUCAUCGUGAGUCGAAAGGGAGGUAUUUUGUUGGUGCACGAAAACCACAUCUAUCGAUCCAAUAUGCGUCGUCAGGGUCCCCACAAGAAUAUACUGUACUGGGAGUGUGUACACAAUCGUUCGCAGAAGUGCCGUGGGCGACUCAAGAGCGAAGGGAAUUUCCUGUUCAUUUCGAACACCAAUGCCACGCACAAUCAUCCGUCAGAUUUGAAUCGAAUCAACCGAUCUAAGGUCGGAGGAGAGCUGACAUACCGCACAUUCUUUUCACUUUUCAAAUAACAUGUUUCAUUGAUGAUAAGAAAUUGUUUUCAAUUAUUUUGCAAUAUAUAAUGUCGAUGAAUCUAGUACUAUACCAUCCAUACUAAUUUUCGAUAUCGUUGACAUGUUUUCAUCGUUUCAUUCUAGUACUGCACAUGCUUGUUGUUCACCGUUGGUGGCAAUCUCUGAGCAAUGAUGAAAUUACUCUCAUCAUGAAGCAAUACAUAAUGUCGAAUCAUCUAGUACAGAGUAAUUCACACUAUUCCUAGAUAUGGUUGAAAUAUUUUCAUCUUUUAUUCUAGUACUGCACAUACUUGUUAAUCACAAUUAGUGGGAAUCUUUGAGUCGUUCAUCUAUGAUUAAACUCAAUCCAACUAAUUUUGCUAACAUUUUGCAACUACAAUUUCAGUUCAGAAAACGUCUCCGACAUGCGAUGCCCCGCAGUAUGUCAUUAGCAAGUGUGGAACCGUUCAGCUUCGGCACAAUGGUCAUCUUUUCAAUCGACACGUCAAACGAGACAAUAUCACAUACUGGCGCUGCUCGCAGUUUACCGUGUACAAGUGUCGCGCUCGGAUUAAAUCCGUUCUCGAAGAGUUUUUCAUGUUGAACGUGGAACAUAACCACCAGGUAGUGGCCUCACCCAGAGCGUACGGAUCUUUGAAGCGACUGAAACAACAACUUGCAAAAUAUUAAUAAACUACACAUGUCUUUGGAAGUCAAUCUAGUACUUCACUUUAUUAAAUUUAGGAAUUCUCGUACACCAAGUUUUGCAUUGAUCUAAUGAUUCCAAUCCACAUUUCAGAUUUCUAUGUCCGGUACGUUUUUCCGGAUUUCAAGGAAGUCGCAAGCUAAAAGUAGGAGAGUUCAGCUAUACCAAAAACAAGGAAAGUGCAAACAAAACGUACUGGUCUUGUGCGAGGGCAGGCAUGAGCAAAUGUAAAGCACGGGUUCUAACCUACACACUGAGAAACGGGGAAGAAAACUUGGUGGUUCGGUAUGCAACACGCAAUCAUGAACCAUUCUAGUACUGCAAUCUUAUAUGAUACUUUGUAAAUAAAACAUUAAUGAGUUGGUGGAAACUGUGGUGGACUUUUCCUCUAUGCCCUAUAUUUGCAUUACGUUGAAGCAUAACUAAUCAGUUAAUUUGGAUUCCAUUUUAGUGUUUAAAAUUGUUAACAUUGAAGAAAUGGAAGAUGAUCAACCCAAGGAAAUAUACUUCACCGUCGGGCAGCGUGGUUGCGUUUUGCUGCACGUUGAUGGCUAUAAAUUCGUGAAGAAUCGUAAGGGGGCAUACAAAACCUAUUGGAUCUGCGCUAAAAAGGGAAGUACAGCCUGCAAAGCUAGAGUCAUCACCCCGGCAAACAGUGAGGAGAAAAAGGUUCCCACGCUGAUAGCCCGCAGCGGAACACAUAAUCACCCUGUAUUCGUAGAGCGAAAAUCCCGCAGUUCUGCUACACAUAGGAUUUUACUUUUCGAAGACCCAUAGUUAAAUAAAUUUAUCUCAACUGAAACUUUGUGCAUCGUGCAUUCGUUUUGAAUCCGUUUUGAGUGUCGUUUUUGCAUUAGUUUUGGACUAACGGAUUUCUAUUUUCCUUUAUAGAUGGCAACGACGUUGACCAGAUUUACUUCAUUGCAGAGAUCAUCGGUUCUGCAGAGGGAAUGAAAACUGUGAAAAUACCCGCAAAGAAGCAAUGUAGAUCCAAAUCCGCAACGAUGCCUUCGGCAAACAAUGAAAUGUUCAAUUUUGAAAGCGAUGGUUCACCUUCGAAGCCCACCUACACAACUGGCCGGGGAAAUAACGUUCUGAACUAUCAGGGCCAACGCUACAUCAAGAACAAUGCGCACAGCGGGAAAAUUUACUGGAAGUGUACCAAAUGGCACAGUGGGUGCAAAGGACGUGCCAUUACCAACGUGCUGAUUCCGGGCUUGGUUGUUCUGAAGAAUACGCACAACCACGAACCAUCGUAAUUUCAUCAACGGCGGUUUUUGAUUUGAGGCCAAAUAAAAUGAUUUUCAAGCAAUAUUUGUUUAGUUAUCUUGAGUUCAUAAGUUUCCGCAAUACCAAUGGUUGAGAAGUCAGUUUCUUUGUGAACUUUAAAGUUUCUUGAGAACCUCUUGUUGAAAUUUCUGAAAAAAUCGCCGCAAACUUCAAACACAGUUUCAAUGAUCUUUUAAUUUAUUGUUUAAAACUAGUACUACGUGAAACAGUGAUGAAUCGUCAUGUAGCAAAAAAUCACCCCAGUAAAAUAGUGAUAGUUUGCGCUGCAAUCGUUUUAUGAGUUUCCAUUUCACGUAGUCUCUAAUGCUUAUCCAAUCUAGUACUACGUCGAAUAAAGCAUCAACUCUUAUACAGUUUAGCGCCCUUUCAUACCAACUUUAUGCACUAGUUCCAAUCGCAACCACUUCUUGCAUCGCCUAAUUUUAGCCGUGAAACAUCCAGUCAAAACGAUUGCUACUUGGUUGUGGAUAACGGAAUAACAACAUGCAGUACUGGAAGCGCAAUUAGUAUUACAAAUGCAAGCUUAGUUGUGAUCGACGAAAUCAAUCUAUCACCAUGAGACGUCAUCGGGCGUCAUCGGAGGCAGUAGUAGUAGUAGUAGUAGUAAUUAACUGGCCCACGGUACCACGACAGGUGAAAUUCCUUAACAAUACCUUCCUCAGAAGAAGCAGCAGACCAUUGGCUGUCACAGGAUUCUUCGAACAAUCUGUACAUCCAGAUCAUGAUCAAACAAGAGAUAAUAAAACUGUUGUUUUGAGCUUUUAUUGUUCGUUAAGUUUGUAAUACAUGAUUACUCUAGUACUUAACAGUAAUUCCUUCAAAACAUGACGUUCUAUCAUUUUCCACAGAAUCCUUCGCCAGGAGGGAGAUUUAUGAACGGUUUAUGCUUCCGAAAGCCGGAAUGGAAGUGGCCCGGUUCGGGAUCAGCCAACGAGGAGCGAAGAAACUGAUCUGCCAUGGAUACGAGUACGUCAAGGAUCGAGACUUUCCGGAUUCGACCAAUUGGCGCUGUGCUUUGUUCCGCCGGCAGAAGUGCCGCGCCCGUGCCAUAACCAAAAUCAUUGACGGUAUCACCUACGUAAGGCUUACGAACGAUGCCCACAGCCACGAUGUCCGGAUGUACCGGAGGCAUCCAGUGAUUAUUACGAAAGCGGACGAAAUGGAGUCUGCAUAAGAAAGAAAGUAGUUUUUUUGUUGAAUUAUUGUGAGAAAAAUAUACGUAUAUCAGAAUGGGUUCAUUGUCCUGUUUAAGCUAUGUUUCCUUUAGUAGUUCCAAUGACAUACUAGAUCAUUACUGCACUAAUACAAACUAUUCGCAUUUUUAGGUGUUUUCGAACCGGCUGUAUUCGGAACUACUCGUCGUGGUCAACAGAAACUAAUACACAAUGGGCAUGCGUACACCAAGGAUCGACAGUCGGCGAAGACUUGCAACUGGAAAUGUUCCCUCUUUACGCGGUACAAGUGUAAGGCUCGUGCCGUUACGAGGGACAUCAAUGGUGUGGUGUACGUGAAAGUCACCAACACGUUACACUACCACCCGGUGGAGCAGUACAAGAUCAACUACCGAAAGGGGUUGGGCGUUAAUCCAAUGAGUUUGGCGAACACUUUUAUCCCGCAUGUCAAGGAUGAGUCGUUUUGAGAUGUGCAAGUAUCGGUUAUAAGUAAGAGUAGGGUUUCUCGUCGCAAAUAAAUUAUGUGUUUUAGUGUUAUUUUAGGACUUCAGUAGAUAUAUUCGCCCUAAUGAAACACUCUGUAAGAUGACCUCCGAUGACCAAUUUUUAUUUACUAGGAGCAGAAAUGAUUCUAUUUCAGUUCUAGUACGUCAUUUUCAUUUACUAAACUAUUAUGUACUUUUAGAUGACAAAGCUGUUUUCACCGAACGAGCCCAGUACGAGUACACCUCCCGAGGAACGCAGCGCUUGCUUCAUGGCGAAUAUUACUUCAGCAAAAACAAAACCAACGAAUCGAGCGGACGGGUGAACUGGAAGUGCCAAUUUUACCAACGGCUGCGCUGCAAAGCAAGGGCCAUUACGAAAAACAUCAACGGAUACGAAUACGUGCGCGUCACCCACGAAGAGCACACCCAUCGCAAGGAUCUCACCGAGGAUGAGUUCCGUCGUCCCAAACGGAAAAGAGAUUUCUGAGUUAGGAAGUUUGGGAAAGUAACUGCGACACAACCAUUUGAUGUAGAAUUGCAUGCCAAUGAGUUUUAAUAAAAACUUAUUUAUUUUUCAUUGUAUGAAAUUACGAUUAGUAAUUCUAGUACCUCGUUUUUAGUAAUAGCCUAAUAGUUUAGAACGACCUCAUCAAAUUAUUAUUUUCUUGUUCACUGUGGAGUAACUUGAGCUAUUACCAAUUUAAAUUUAUUUUCAGGCUGUUUCAGCUUAAAAAAAAAAGAAAUGCAUCGAAGCGAUUGUGUAAAUCUAGUACUUCAAUAGAAAAAAAAAAACUUAUAACGGCCGAAAGAACCCAUUUGCUCAAAAGAAGAUGACAUUCUAAGCCAUAUUUUAUCAUAUUUACAUAGCUCUAACCUAUUCAUAUUUUUCCAUCCAACCUAUCCCAAACAGUUAAACUGAAAAUUGUUCAAUAUUCGACACGCAAAUCGGACGAGCACUACGACGAUGAUGAUGAAGACGGCGACGGUGAGGAUGAUGAAGCAAAGACCCAAUUCCCGUUGGACCUGAAGAUGGUGGUAGGCCGCAAGGGACGCCCAAUGCUGCUGAUGGGUGGCCACGCCUUUUUCCGCAACAACACCCACAAAAGCAAAACCUACUGGCUGUGUGCCAAGAGCCGUUCGCUGAAGUGUCGCGCCCGAAUCAUCACCCUGGACGGCAGUGCCGGACUGAUCCUCAAGAAUCAGAUUCAUAAUCAUCCAGCGGCGUUGGAAAGGUCCUAGGCGAGGAUAAGAGUUAUCGAGUUCGUGCUGUGACAUAACGUCACAGUACUUGAACAAAAUUUUGGUUUUCUCUAUAUAAUACGUUGUGUAGGCCAGUGUUGGGAAUACUCACUUGUAAGAGUGAUAAUCACUUGCUUCUAUCUCAGUCCAGAAUCAUACUUUAAAAAAAUAAUGUUUGAAGGGCUUUUAGAUUGUAGUUUAAUCUAAAAGUUUGCCGAAUAAAGUAAAGGUCGCAGACGCAUACCAAAAUUGUGAGAGAGCUGUGAGUACGAGGUGAGUAAAAUUCGUGUAAUGUAUACUCACCUUGUGCUCACAGCUCUCUCAUAAUUAUGGUAUGCGUCUACGAGCUUUACUUUAUUCGGUAAACUUUUAGAUUAAACUACAAUUUUCCCUUCAAACAUCAUUUUUUGAUAGCAUGCUUCUAGAAUGAGAUAGAACCAAGUGAGUAUAACUUUUCGCAUGUGAGUAUUCGCAACACUGGUGUAGUCAUUAUUUUCAGCAAUUGAGCGUAUUGUAAUUUGAAUUCUGUGCAAAUAAAAUGCCCGAAAUUGAGUUGAUCUAGUACUUCAAUUACUGAAUGGGCAAUGAAAGGUAAAUAACUUGCAAAGCUUCUGUUUGAGAUUUCCUUUUCUUUUGAAAUAAAGGUUCUGUUUUUGAUUGCACCAAUCGUGUUUUAGUUUAUCUCACUCUAGUACUGCUAUAAAUUCUACUAACAUGCUACAUUCUUUUUUCAGUAUCUACAGUUAUCGAAUACGUUACGGAGGAAAAGGUCCAAAAUAGAAAACCGAUCAAGCCCACUCGCUCCAAGCGGACCAAACCCAAGCACAACGUAAGCGAGAUUAUAAACAGUACCCAAGGAGUCCCCGUGGUGUACCAGAACACACGUUUUGGAGCGGCUCAGGUACUCUUGGAGGACAUGGUAUACUCGUUCACCUACACGAAGAACCAAAUAAGCCACUACAGAUGCAGCCGAUACAGGAGCCAACAGUGCCCGGCCGAGGUAGUUGUCAACAACAAGCUGGUCUACUAUCUCUGUGCUGCCCAUAAUCACGAUUUGGCUACCGGUCAGCAGUUGGAUGGUAUCUGCAGGUCGUAUCUAGCUAGAGAUGCGACGUAAGUUUUGAUUGGAUGUGGUUGCAAUGUACAAGAAUGGAUAAAAUUAUGUACAGCAUUCCUAGAUGGCCAGUAAAGAAUGCGUUGACCUGAUUCUUUCGGGGCCGGAAAAGUCACUCUCCGAUAUCAUCUAGGGAAAGUUGAUUAUAUCUCGUGGAAUCGCCUAAUUCUGUCCAAAUUUAUGUCAUACUUCUUAAAUAAUUUCAUUGGUAUUUCUAUAUUAGAUUGCAAUACUUACAGAAUUCAUAACAUGAUUAUUUACAUAGCUAUGUGAAGUACUAGAUUAAGGAAGAAUACAAAAUCAAAUACGGCACGGUAAAGGCUGGGUAUGCUGCGCAAUUCAGAUCCCAUUGUGAUCCACUAGCCUCUGCCCAGCAACUCCUAUCCCUACCUCCACGCGGUACCGGCCGGAAACUAUGAGCAACCUUAGGGAAGAUCGGGUAACCAACCCCGGUGGGACCUUUGGUCGUAGGCUGACAGGGAAGGGGGGGUUUGCUUCGGCAAACCUGAGCGUCUGUUCUCCAGGAGGAGCGGCUCACAACAGCGUCUGAUCCCCAUGUUAGGGGCGGCUGAUCUACGUCCGAGUGCCAGGGAAGGACUCUAAGCUCAACUGUGCACUAUGGUCCUCCGGAAAGUAGGGGGUUGGUGUCAGGCCCUACGAGCCAGCCGUAAAAACCCAUUGUAACGGAAAAUCAGCAACAGAAUAAUACGAACCGAGACCAACGGCAACGACCCCAGCGAACAAAAAGGACUUGCGAUUGGAAACUCGGUACGUGGAACUGCCGAUCUCUCAACUUCAUUGGGAGCACCCGCAUACUCGCCGAUCUACUGAAGGACCGCGGGUUCGGCAUCGUAGCGCUGCAGGAGGUGUGUUGGACAGGAUCCAUGGUGCGAACGUUUAGAGGUAAUCAUACCAUCUACCAGAGCUGCUGCAACACACGCGAGCUGGGAACAGCUUUCAUCGUGAUGGGUGAUAUGCAGAGGCGCGUGAUCGGUUGGUGGCCGAUCGACGAAAGAAUGUGCAGGUUGAGGAUCAAGGGCCGAUUCUUCAACUUCAGCAUAAUAAACGUGCACAGCCCACACUCCGGAAGUACUGAUGAUGAUAAGGACGCAUUUUACGCGCAGCUCGAACGCGAGUACGACCGCUGCCCAAGCCACGACGUCAAGAUCAUCAUAGGAGAUUUGAACGCUCAGGUAGGCCAGGAGGAGGAAUUCAGACCGACGAUUGGUAAGUUUAGCGCCCACCAGCAAACGAACGAAAACGGCCUACGACUCAUUGAUUUCGCCGCCUCCAAAAAUAUGGCCAUACGUAGCACCUUUUUCCAACACAGCCUCCCUUAUCGUUACACCUGGAGAUCACCACAACAGACGGAAUCUCAAAUCGACCACGUUCUGAUUGACGGACGGCACUUCUCCGACAUUAUCGACGUCAGGACCUAUCGUGGCGCCAAUAUCGACUCCGACCACUAUCUGGUGAUGGUCAAACUGCGCCCAAAACUCUCCGUCAUCAACAAUGUACGGUACCGGCGACCGCCACGGUACAACCUAGAGCGGCUGAAGCAACCGGAUGUCGCCUCAGCAUACGCGCAGAAUCUCGAAGCCGCGUUGCCAGACGAGGGCGAGCUCGAUAAGGCCCCUCUAGAGGACUGCUGGAGUACAGUGAAAGCAGCCAUCAACGACGCAGCCGAGAGCACCAUCGGGUACGUGGAACGGAAUCGACGAAACGAAUGGUUCGACGAAGAGUGCAGAACGGUUUUGGAGGAGAAGAACGCAGCGAGGGCGGUAAUGCUGCAGCAAGGGACUCGACAGAACGUGGAACGUUACAAACAGAAGCGGAAACAGCAGACCCGCCUCUUUCGGGAGAAAAAGCGCCGCCUGGAAGAAGCGGAGUGUGAAGAAAUGGAACUGCUGCGCCGUUCCCAAGAAACACGGAAGUUCUAUCAGAAACUCAACGCAUCCCGCAACGGCUUCGUGCCGCGAGCCGAAAUAUGCAGGGAUAAAGACGGAGGCCUCUUGACGGACGGACGUGAGGUGAUCGAAAGGUGGAAGCAGCACUUCGAUCAGCACCUGAACGGCGUGGAGAACGUAGGCACGGGAGCCCACGGCAACGGAAGGAACGACGACGCCAGUGCAGCGGAGGACGGAAAUGAACCAACUCCCACGCUGAGGGAAGUUAAGGAUGCCAUUCACCAGCUCAAAACCAACAAAGCAGCUGGUAAGGAUGGUAUCGCAGCUGAACUCAUCAAGAUGGGCCCAGAAAAGUUGGCCACCUGUCUGCAUCGGCUGAUAGUCAGGAUCUGGGAAACCGAACAGCUACCGGAGGAGUGGAAGGAAGGGGUAAUCUGCCCCAUUCACAAGAAAGGCGACCAUUUGGAAUGUGAGAACUUCAGGGCGAUCACUAUUUUGAAUGCUGCCUACAAAGUGCUAUCCCAGAUCAUCUUCCGUCGUCUGUCACCUAAAACAAAUGAGUUCGUGGGAAGUUAUCAAGCCGGCUUCAUCGACGGCCGGUCGACAACGGACCAGAUCUUUACCGUACGGCAAAUCCUCCAGAAAUGCCGUGAAUACCAGGUCCCAACGCACCACCUGUUCAUCGACUUCAAAGCGGCAUACGAUAGUAUCGACCGCGCAGAGCUAUGGAGAAUCAUGGACGAAAACGGCUUUCCUGGGAAGCUGACUAGACUGAUUAAAGCAACGAUGGACGGUGUGCAAAACUGCGUAAGGGUUUCGGGUGAACUAUCCAGUUCAUUCGUAUCUCGCCGGGGACUGCGACAAGGUGACGGACUCUCAUGUCUACUCUUCAACAUCGCGCUGGAAGGUGUGAUGCGACGAGCCGGGCUCAACAGCCGGGGAACGAUUUUCACAAAAUCCGGUCAAUUUGUGUGCUUUGCGGACGACAUGGACAUUAUCGCUAGAACAUUUGGAACGGUGGCAGAACUGUACACCCGCCUGAAACGCGAAGCAGCAAAGGUUGGACUGGUGGUGAAUGCCUCAAAAACAAAGUACAUGCUGGUAGGCGGAACCGAACACGACCGGACCCGUCUGGGUAGUAAUGUUACGAUAGACGGGGAUACUUUCGAGGUGGUGGAGGAAUUCGUCUACCUCGGAUCCUUACUGACGGCUGACAACAACGUGAGCCGUGAAAUUCAGAGGCGCAUCAUCAGCGGAAGUCGGGCCUACUACGGGCUCCAGAAGAAACUGCGGUCGAAAAAGAUUCACCCACGCACCAAAUGCACCAUGUACAAAACGUUAAUAAGACCGGUAAUCCUCUACGGGCACGAGACAUGGACCAUGCUCGAGGAGGACCUACAAGCACUCGGAGUUUUCGAGCGACGCGUGCUAAGAACGAUCUUCGGCGGUGUGCAGGAGAACGGUGUGUGGCGGAGAAGGAUGAACCACGAGCUCGCUGCACUUUACGGCGAACCCAGCAUCCAGAAGGUGGCCAAAGCCGGAAGGAUACGGUGGGCAGGGCAUGUUGCAAGAAUGCCGGACAACAACCCUGCAAAGCUGGUGUUUGCAACGGAUCCGGUUGGCACAAGAAGGCGUGGAGCGCAGAGAGCACGAUGGGCGGACCAGGUGGAGCGUGACUUGGCGAGCAUUGGGCGUGACCGAGGAUGGAGAGCGGCAGCCACAAACCGAGUAUUGUGGCGUACUAUUGUUGAUUAUGUCUUGUCUUAAUGAUGUGGAACAAAUAAAUUUAAACAGUAUUGAAUUGACAUUUCAUCAGCGAGAACUGUCACUCUAACGCAACAAUCUUUCCAGAGGACCGUGAAAUCACCUUCAUUGUGGGAAGACUCGGCAACAUGCAGUUGAUCAUCGACGGCCACCUGUACACCCGGUCUCAAAUCAGGGAACGCAUCAUCAUUUGGCACUGCUCUCGGCAAAGAUCUGGAUGCAAAAGUCGGAUCAGCACCCUGCGAGGCGAACCGGGAACGGCCUACUCCUUUCGUGAGGACCACAAUCACGAGAGCAAAUUUGACUUCAAAAAUAGGGACAUUAAGGUUCUCAAGGUGGCCAAACUGUUGAUUGUUGGCAAAAACCGUUAGAUUGCGUUGAUUUUAAUUUCAGACUAAACAAUAAAAUAGAAAUUAGUUUUUCGUAACUUUGGUCUUGAUUCUGUUGGACACUGUUUUAAAUGAAAAUUUUUGGAAAAAAUAGUUAAAAAAUUAUAAAUUUCACUAACCCAUAAAAAUGUUCAUUGCAGAUAAUAAAUCUGAUGAAAGUAAUAUCUACGUCGUGUGCACCGCCGAAGGGGAGUACAAGAUUCAGGAGAAACCUGCAGCUAGACAAACAAAAACUACCAAAACUCCAUUCAAGGCUUCGUCGCCGAUGCGGGUUGUUUGCAUUCUAGGCGGAUUCACAUUUCCAAUCUCCGAUGGCGAUGAAGUGGAACGAUUGGAAAAAACCAUAUCGGAACGGGCCGACAUUCGCGAGGAAUAUGUAAAAUUGUUGAAGCGCAAAUCGAAACAUAUCAAACUAUUCCAAUUUAUGCCGUCAGUUUUCUCGGAUGAAGCUCUGGAAGGAUAUAACUUCAAUGGAGCAAACGUGCUUGGUAGGCGCAAGAUCGCCAUGAAAGGUUACAAUAUUUUCAGCAGUUGUUUCAUGGAUGCUUACGAAUCGGAAGGGCUAACCAUGGAAGAACUAGCCAACCAGAUAACCACGGCCAUCAAGCAGACUCGUAACAGAAUACGCCAGCGUACCUUCCGGGCGAAGAGAUCUAUCAAGAAGAUGUUGGAAGAUAAAUCGGAACACUAGCUGGUUGUGUUAGUUCUGGAGUAAACUUGAAAUUUCACCGAUAACCCAUUGGAACUGUUGUAGGAAAGAGUUAGUUCAGUACUCGAUUAGAUUCAUACGUGACCGAUUAUGAUUUUUGUGCUUACUGUUUGAUUGGAACAAAUCAACUUGAUAUUUCUCAUGCAAACAAUAUAAAAACAAUCAUGAUUCUUGUACACAUUGUACAAAUAAAGUUAUUAUUUUGUCAAAUAAAUAAAUAAGUUAAAGAUAGAGCUAGUAGGAAACAGAGAAAAAAAACUAAAUGACAAUAAUAUCUGAAUUAAGUUGUAGAACACUGCGAGACGGCAUAGCUUUAUUUUUAAUCUAGUACCUCAUUUAUGCAACAUCAAACCACUUCAAACUGUUUUCUCUAUUCAAUAGAAAUAGUCGUGGAGGACAUAAAGCUGGAAAGCAUUCCCAUCCAAGUGGAUUCUACACUUCCAGCUAGCGGUAAUGCAGUACUAGAACAAAUAGCAGAAUCUCACAAAGAUGAGGAUAUAAAGUUGCAUAAAGUAGACCCACGUGUACAUGAAAAUGCGGCCGGCAAACCACUCCAUAUGCAGCUUAAAAUCAGCCCCAAAAAGCGACGUCCUCCGAGUAGAAAGCAAUCUAAAUUGCUCCGCGUGGCUGGAUUUGAAUUUCCUCUGACAUGUGAAGAAGAUGUCGACCGGUUGGAACUGAUGGUCAAACGGAAUCCUAACAUCAGAAACCAAUAUAUCAAAUAUCUGGCAGCCAAUAAACUCCCAAACAUGGAGAUUGCUCACAUCCUUUACCGAUUUUUCAACGACGAAGCCCUCUCAAAUUUCAACUGGACUGGCCAGGAACGGUACGACUCUAGUGCUUUGGGUAAAAAGAAAGCCAUGCAAAAGCUCGACAUUUUCAAUUCAUGUAUGCUAGAAGCGUGGUCCAGUCAUGGUGUUACACAGGACGCUCUGGCUGGUUCGCUGAAGAAAGCUGUGCAGCUGGUUGCUCGACGGCGGUACAAUCUCAUCUACAAUCAGCGGAAACGAAUUCAAACGCUGGAUCCCGAACACUGACGUUUUCCAGUGGAGGUCGUGACAUGACACAGCUUCAUACACAGUUAUCAUUUAACUAAAAUUUUCUUCUAAUCUAGUACCUCUGCUGAGUUUUACCUUCUUAUAUUUUGAUCGUAACUAGAAAAAUACAAUAUAUUUCUUUUUGAUAUAGAUCUUCACACGUUCCAAUCGUUUUCAGCUGACAAAUUCUUCAACGAAAAUUUCUUUCAAUUUUAUACAACUAAGUUUUUUUGUUACCCUUACAGCAACUACUGGGAACAAAAUGGAAACGUCUACCACUUAUCCGAAAAUUGAAAUCAUCUCUCAAAUACGAUUGCAUCCACCACAAGAAAAACCAACGAUUUCGCGACUGCACGGUUUACUGAGAAGAUCUAGCGCAGAAGGGGCAUCUGGAAAAGUUCCAUUGUACAGCGGCAGCGACAUCUACAUAGCAAUGGAGGACCUGGUAAAAAUCUAUUCUCUCUACACUGCCCGACUGCUGGACAUAAUAUUCGGUAGAGAGAUACUGGUGGGUGCUUGCACUAGACGACUGGUGGAUGAUGGUGAUUUGGAACAACUGGAUUCUCAUAAACUGCGAUCUGUGAUUGGUAAGGGCGUUUCUCGGCCUGUUGGGUAGUACCAGAUAGGUAUUCAAUCAACACUUUUUUUUUGUUUGCAGUGCAUGUGAUUAAUGUUUUCAAAAAACAAAACAUUGAAAUAUCAGAGUCGACUGUAUUGGAAUACGUUCAUCAUCGGCUUUGCUUCCUAAAUCAAGUGAAAAGGGAGUAGUUGUGUAAAAGCAGGCUGUUUGAUCGAAAACUUUACUAGUACUUUAUCAGUACAACUUUCUGGUGCAAUAUUUAAAAAAAAAUGAUUCGAUUUGUAUGGCUUCAUACAAAUCGCUGCACUUUUUCAACUUACUAACAUUGUUCUUCUUUAUAGAUCAGCGUAAUCUGAAACAGGCAUUAAUGGUUAUCAACGUUCCAUGGAAUCGAAAACAGUAUUGAAUUGUUGAUUUCGAGGAAAUAUAUAAAAUUUAAAAAAUCAAUGAAUCUUAUACUUCUUUACAUAAAUUGAGCCAUUUCUACCACUUGAUGUAUUCUAAAGUAACCGUUCUUGUAUCGUUAUGCGUUUCCAGGCUCCCCUAAACUCCGGGCGGCCAAGUUUGGUUACACCCAGAAGGGAAGGGCAAUGCUGCUGUACAACGGAUAUGCCUACAUCAAAGACCGCCAGGCUCAGAAGAGCUGCAACUGGAAGUGCUCUUUGUUCGGAAAGCUGAAAUGCCGAACCAGGGCCGUCACGAAGGAGGUUAACGGGCGGCAGAUGAUGAAAAUCACCAAAUCCCUGCAUAACCACACUCGCGAUGUGUACUCGUUUGAUAAGUGUAAAAAAUCUAAAGAAUAAGUUUCUGGCAAAAAUGUCAGAUGUUCUUUUACAAUGAAACAUAAGCAAACUUUUUAUUGUAUCUGUAAUCAACUUAGAAUUACGUUCCAAAAAUUAUCAUAAUAAUAAAAUGUACUCUUCUAUAACUUAUGUAUACAUUCUAGUACUUCAUGUCUUAAGACAUUGUUUCGAGUAUAUUUUUGGUUGUAUUCUAUGCCUUCCUUGUCCUCAUUAUCACUUAUUUUUCUCUCUCAGAGAUUGAAUGAUAUCGGGUCUUCGUUUGGUAAAUGUAGUACCAGAAUACUAAGUGCAGACAAACUGAAACCUAAUUGAUACGACACGAGUGAGUCACUAACACUUUUAUCUGUAUCCCCAACAGGAAACGUAAUCUAUGUACUGUCGAAGCGUGGCAUCAAGCAUCUGUUUCACGAUGGAAACACCUACACUCUAAAUGAGCGACCCUACCCAGGGCAGCGGUCCCGAACGUGGAAAUGCUCGUUGUACUACCGGCUCAAGUGUCGCGCCCGCAUUGUCACCACUGAAGCCGAUGGGCUUCCCAAGCUGUGGGUGGUCGUUGCUGAGCAUACCCACUCGAAAGUGUUCCCCAAUUUAAGCCAUAAAUUUCGCAGUUUGUUCUAGUGAGUUGAACAAAUUUGACAAUCUAGUCUUUUAUUCAAGGAUCUCAAUGUUUUAUAAGUAAACAACCAUGCAUGCUUUAAGAGCAUUUUUUACAAUAGGAAUGAUGCGGAUUGUUCGUAAAUCUACUUUUUUUUAUUAUAUUCCAGUUAUUCAUAAUAUAUAGGUAUUCAGUAGAGUGCGUCUGAUGGAGUACUAGAUUUGUAGUCAUGAGCUAUAUAAUGUCCAUGAUGUUUACACUGUUUCAUUGCAGAAAAGAAGAAUUUCUCAUCUCAUCAUACAAACAUCCAGCUCAGUACCAUACAUCUAGUACCACAUCGAUCCUGCCCUACAGGUGUAGUUUGCAGUCAAAACUUUGCAGGCACAUGGUAGGAUGGCACAUAUUUCCCAAAUGGAGGAGAACGUGCCUCUGGAGCCUAUCUACUGAUAGGCUCUGGCUACGCAUAUUGUAUUUUCAUUAUAUAAUAAGAAGUUCUAGAUACUGGAUACCGUCACUUUCAGAAUAUCACAGUUCUUUGGUUGAUUUGCCAUAUGUUUCAAUUACAUAGUUCUUUUUGCUACAUUGUAUCAGUAAACGUAUCAUGCUUUAACGACUAAUUUAUACCAUUGCAGAUAUUGUUUUCGUGGUGAAUAACGUGGGUGGCCUUCAACUCUGCGUAGAUGGAUAUCCCUUCAUCCGAUCGAGGACAAUCGACGAAGUUCAGUAUUGGACGUGUAACCAAAGAAAACGACUAGGCUGCCCGGUUCGUGCCUCCGUACGUCGUCGAGAGAAAGGACAAAAACCUCUGGUUAAGCUGAGUGGAUGUCACAACCAUCUGAUCAUCACGGAGCGCCAGAGAUAUGGAGAGAGUUCCAUGCUAAUGCAAACAAUCGCACGUGGACGCCAAGUUGUAGCAGAGAAAAGGAAACGUGCCACUUCGAAGCAAAGGCGAGCAGCAGCAACGGAAUAGUGUUUUUUUUUAUUUGAAGAAUAAACAUUUGAGAGAAGCUUCGUCAUAGAGUUCUAGUACUACAUUGAUUUGUUUCGACCUUUGUGAUUUGAUCUUAAACGACGAAAAGUUAAAUGAAUAGUUUCUUACAAGACACACAGUUUAAAAUCUGGUACAAUUCAUCAGUUUGUAUAAAUAUUCUUGUUAGUACAAGCCGUCGUAACUAGUUUAUAAAUAAUGUUAACAGUUGUUUCAAUAGUUCUCAAUAGUUACAUUUGUUUCUUUUCAUGCCUCCUCAGUCAAACGAAGAUAUGCCGGAGCACAGAUCGAGUACCGAGGCGGAGACGUGACGUUUUCGCCGAGCUGCCGCGGUAUGCCAAAAAUGACUCUGGAAGGGUACGUCUACAUUCGCAAUGCUGGCAAUGCCACCAAAACGUACUGGCUUUGUGAGCGUGGUAAGCGAUUCAAGUGUCGCGCCCGUGCGAUAACGUACCGAGGCACGGGGCGUAUUACCAUCAACGAGCAUUCCCACAACCACAUGCCGGGAUUUUAGGAUAAAAACUCGAAUUAGUGGAAUAAAUUCAAUGAUAAAUUA